UAGGGAAUCUUCCACAAUGGACGCAAGUCUGAUGGAGCAACGCCGCGUGAGUGAAGAAGGUUUUCGGAUCGUAAAGCUCUGUUGUUGGUGAAGAAGGAUAGAGGUAGUAACUGGCCUUUAUUUGACGGUAAUCAACCAGAAAGUCACGGCUAACUACGUGCCAGCAGCCGCGGUAAUACGUAGGUGGCAAGCGUUGUCCGGAUUUAUUGGGCGUAAAGCGAGCGCAGGCGGAAGAAUAAGUCUGAUGUGAAAGCCCUCGGCUUAACCGAGGAAGUGCAUCGGAAACUGUUUUUCUUGAGUGCAGAAGAGGAGAGUGGAAUUCCAUGUGUAGCGGUGGAAUGCGUAGAUAUAUGGAAGAACACCAGUGGCGAAGGCGACUCUCUGGUCUGCAACUGACGCUGAGGCUCGAAAGCAUGGGUAGCGAACAGG
rnacentral:rRNA from 1 species